GACGAACGCUGGCGGCGUGCUUAACACAUGCAAGUUGAACGGAAAGGCCCUGCUUGCAGGGUGCUCGAGUGGCGAACGGGUGAGUAACACGUGGGUGAUCUGCCCCUUACUUUGGGAUAAGCCUGGGAAACUGGGUCUAAUACUGGAUAGGACCAUGCUGUAGGUGGUGUGGUGGAAAGAUUAGUUUCGGUAAGGGAUGAGCUCGCGGCCUAUCAGCUUGUUGGUGGGGUAAUGGCCUACCAAGGCGUCGACGGGUAGCCGGCCUGAGAGGGUGGACGGCCACAUUGGGACUGAGAUACGGCCCAGACUCCUACGGGAGGCAGCAGUGGGGAAUAUUGCACAAUGGGCGCAAGCCUGAUGCAGCGACGCCGCGUGGGGGAUGACGGCCUUCGGGUUGUAAACUCCUUUCAGCCAUGACGAAGCCCUUGUGGUGACGGUAGUGGUAGAAGAAGCACCGGCUAACUACGUG
rnacentral:rRNA from 1 species